rnacentral:rRNA from 1 species
AGAGUUUGAUCCUGGCUCAGGAUGAACGCUAGCGGCAGGCUUAACACAUGCAAGUCGAGGGGCAGCGCGGGAUAGCAAUAUCCUGGCGGCGACCGGCGGAAGGGUGCGUAACGCGUGAGCGACAUGCCCGUUGCCCGGGGACAACCGGUGGAAACGCCGACUAAUCCCCGAUGGGAUACGAUGCUUCAUGGCAUUGUAUUGAAAGUUACGGCGGCGACGGAUUGGCUCGCGUCCGAUUAGCUUGUUGGCGGGGUAACGGCCCACCAAGGCUACGAUCGGUAGGGGUUCUGAGAGGAAGGCCCCCCACAAUGGGACUGAGACACGGCCCAUACUCCUACGGGAGGCGGCAGUGAGGAAUAUUGGUCAAUGGGCGGAAGCCUGAACCAGCCAUGCCGCGUGCGGGAAGGAGGCCCUAUGGGCUGUGAACCGCUUUUGCCUGGGGGCAAUAAGGGCGUCGCGCACGUCCGAUGAGAGUACCAGGCGAAUAAGCAUCGGCUAACUCCGUGCCAGCAGCCGCGGUAAUACGGGGGAUGCGAGCGUUAUCCGGAUUCAUUGGGUUUAAAGGGUGCGUAGGCUGUGCGUCAAGUCGGGGGUGAAAUUCCGGUGCUCAACACCGGGGCUGCCCUUGAUACUGUCGCGCUGGAGUGCGGAUGCCGCCGGAGGAAUGAGUGGUGUAGCGGUGAAAUGCUUAGAUAUCACUCAGAACACCGAUUGCGAAGGCAUCUGGCGAAUCCGUAACUGACGCUGAGGCACGAAAGCGUGGGGAUAGAACAGGAUUAGAUACCCUGGUAUUCCACGCCGUAAACGAUGAUGGCUAACCGCCGGCGACACACUGUCGGUGGCCAAGCGAAAGCGAUAAGCCAU